GACCCCAUGCCGAACUCAGAAGUGAAACGCCGUAGCGCCGAUGGUAGUGUGGGGUCUCCCCAUGUGAGAGUAGGGAACUGCCAGGC
rnacentral:rRNA from 23 species